rnacentral:rRNA from 1 species
CCUACGGGUGGCAGCAGUGAGGAAUAUUGGUCAAUGGACGAGAGUCUGAACCAGCCAAGCAGCGUGAAGGAUGACUGCCCUAUGGGUUGUAAACUUCUUUUAUAUGGGAAUAAAAUGUUCCACGUGUGGGAUUUUGUAUGUACCAUAUGAAUAAGGAUCGGCUAACUCCGUGCCAGCAGCCGCGGUAAUACGGAGGAUCCGAGCGUUAUCCGGAUUUAUUGGGUUUAAAGGGAGCGUAGGUGGAUUGUUAAGUCAGUUGUGAAAGUUUGCGGCUCAACCGUAAAAUUGCAGUUGAAACUGGCAGUCUUGAGUACAGUAGAGGUGGGCGGAAUUCGUGGUGUAGCGGUGAAAUGCUUAGAUAGCACGAAGAACUCCGAUUGCGAAGGCAGUUCACUGGACUGAAACUGACACUGAGGCUCGAAAGUGUGGGUAUCAAACAGGAUUAGAUACCCUUGUAGUC